UUUGAUGCGUGUCCUGACUGGUUUCCUGCUUUGUACUCUGGGGCCCUUCACUGCCUGCCAUUUAAAACCUCAAGACUCAAAACCAGCCAUCCUGUUUUUCCUGCCUGCACUACCCUGGACCAAUCUGCCAGAUAAGUUUGCCUUGUGUUUUGUUUCCCAGCGGAGAGAAAAAGGCAAGGGGAGAGAAAGGAGGAGCAGAAAAGUGAGUGAGCUCUGUCAAUUGGAGUGAGAGCGCUGCUAAGUCUGGCUACACUACAAAGGUAAUGUCCUCUCAUGGAGCUGCUUUUGAAGAGCUGCUGCUGUUUGGCCUCAAAUCACCUCCAACUGUCGGCCUGCGUGGCCGUGGGACUACA
ensembl:lncRNA